UACGGAGGGUGCAAACGUUGCUCGGAAUUAUUGGGCGUAAAGCGCACGUAGGCGGUCCGGUAAGUCGGGAGUGAAAGCCCUUGGCUUAACCAAGGAAGUGCUUUCGAAACUACCGGGCUUGAGUACGGGAGAGGGUCGCGGAAUUCCCGGUGUAGAGGUGAAAUUCGUAGAUAUCGGGAGGAACACCAGUGGCGAAGGCGGCGACCUGGGCCAAUAGUU
rnacentral:rRNA from 1 species